GGAAACGUUGUAGUCUGGCUCCAUGCAGUCUCUUUCUACAGGGGUGUGCGCACAGCCAAGGGUUGUGGAGUCUGGAGGAGGUCUUCAGGCACCUGGGGACUCUGUGCUACUCUCCUGCCAGGGAUAUGCCUUGACUUUGAUCAACUAUUAUUUUUGGUGGUACCGUCAGGUACCCAGUGGCAGUCUUGAGUGCCUCUCUUACAUCAGCUAUGAUUCUUCAGACAUUCAUUACCUGCCAGGCAUAAAAGGCGUGUGGGCACAGUGGAGGUUGGUGGAGUCUGGUGGAGGUCUGCAAGCAGCCGGGGACUCCGUGCAGCUCUCCUGCCAGGGAUCUGGCUUCAACUUCAGAAGUUACCAUGUGCUGUGGUACCGCCAGGCACCCAGUGGCAGUCUCAAGUGGGUGUCCUUCAUCAACACAUCUGGUAAUAGAAAAGACUAUGGAAAAGCGGUGCAGGGCCGAGCCACAGCCUCCCGGGACAAUUCCCAGUCCAAGGCUUAUCUGUCCCUACGUGCCCUGCUACCCCAGGACUCGGCUCGCUACUUCUGUGCUGUUCACACAGGGACAGGAAAUCCAGCUGAGCUUUGACACAAACAUGUUCCUCUCGUGUUUUUUAACUGUAUUGCUGCCAUGGAGAACAGGGAGGAGCAGCAGAACUGUAUUGAGCUGCUGAGGAGGGCGGAGAAUUGUCUUCAGCUCUGCCCUUUCCCACUUUGCCUGUGGGGACCCAUGGGAUCAACAGCAGUGUCAGGGGCAAUUGCAACAGGAAU